rnacentral:rRNA from 1 species
GAGUUUGAUCCUGGCUCAGAACGAACGCUGGCGGCAGGCCUAACACAUGCAAGUCGAACGACACAGUGGCAGACGGGUGAGUAACGCGUGGGAACGUACCUUUCGCUAAGGAAUAGCUCCGGGAAACUGGUGGUAAUACCUUAUACGCCCUCAGGGGGAAAGAUUUAUCGGCGAAAGAUCGGCCCGCGUUGGAUUAGCUAGUUGGUGAGGUAAUGGCUCACCAAGGCGACGAUCCAUAGCUGGUCUGAGAGGAUGAUCAGCCACACUGGGACUGAGACACGGCCCAGACUCCUACGGGAGGCAGCAGUGGGGAAUCUUGCACAAUGGGCGAAAGCCUGAUGCAGCCAUGCCGCGUGAAUGAUGAAGGCCUUAGGGUUGUAAAAUUCUUUCGUCAGGGAUGAUAAUGACCGUACCUGAAGAAGAAGCCCCGGCUAACUUCGUGCCAGCAGCCGCGGUAAUACGAAGGGGGCUAGCGUUGUUCGGAAUUACUGGGCGUAAAGCGCACGUAGGCGGACUUUUAAGUCAGGUGUGAAAUCCCGGGGCUCAACCUCGGAACUGCAUUUGAAACUGGGAGUCUUGAGACCAGGAGAGGUUAGCGGAAUACCGAGUGUAGAGGUGAAAUUCGUAGAUAUUCGGUGGAACACCAGUGGCGAAGGCGGCUAACUGGACUGGUACUGACGCUGA